rnacentral:lncRNA from 1 species
UGUUUCGUCGACCUGAAGUUUAGAAGAAAAUGCAUAAAAAUAUACGAAAUAAUUAUAAUAGGAUAAAAAGUAGAUACAAACCUCUACAUGGAGCCCUGGACCUCCAAUUUGCAGAGGCAUAUGGGAGACGGCAAUCUCUGCUACUUCACGGCAGUACGAGUAAAUAUCUACCGCGGUGUUCUGACCGACGCUGGCAUGAUCUUUUGCCAUCAUCAUGUCCAGGCCCACCACCCAAUAAAACAACAAGGUUAAAAUCUGUAGGAAAAAAUGAGAUAGAUUAGAAAAGAAUCAUCAUAUGAGAAAUCAAGCAAGCAGAGAAGGAAUACAUACCUUGUAAAUUGGGAGGUGGACACGUUCAAACCAGGUGUUAUCGGUUGGCUGGA